rnacentral:rRNA from 1 species
AUUAAACGCUGGCGGCAUGCCUUACACAUGCAAGUCGAACGGCAGCACGGGGGCAACCCUGGUGGCGAGUGGCGAACGGGUGAGUAAAGCAUCGGAACGUGCCCUGGAGUGGGGGGAUAACGUAGCGAAAGUUACGCUAAUACCGCAUAUUCUGUGAGCAGGAAAGCAGGGGAUCGCAAGACCUUGCGCUCUGGGAGCGGCCGAUGUCGGAUUAGCUAGUUGGUGGGGUAAAGGCCUACCAAGGCGACGAUCCGUAGCGGGUCUGAGAGGAUGAUCCGCCACACUGGGACUGAGACACGGCCCAGACUCCUACGGGAGGCAGCAGUGGGGAAUUUUGGACAAUGGGCGAAAGGACCUGAUCCAGCCAUGCCGCGUGAGUGAAGAAGGCCUCGGUGUAAGAUCUUCGUGGGUAGGAAGUUAG